rnacentral:rRNA from 1 species
GACGAACGCUGGCGGCGUUCCUAAUACAUGCAAGUAGUACGCAGUUGCGAACGGUUGAGUAACGCGUAGGUAACUACCUAUUAGAGGGGGAUAACUAUUGGAAACGAUAGCUAAUACCGCAUACUAGUAGAUGGACCUGCGUUUUAUUAUUUAUUAGGUAGGGUAAUGGCCUACCUAUGCAACGAUCCAUCGCCGACCGUAGAGGGUGAUCGGCCACACUGGGACUGAGACACGGCCCAGACUCCUACGGGAGGCAGCAGUAGGUAAUCUUCGGCAAUGGGGGGAACCCUGACCGAGCAACGCCGCGUGAGUGAAGAAGGUUUUCGGAUCGUAAAGCUCUGUUGUUAAGGAAGCGGUACUUAACCAGAAAGGGACGGCUAACUACGUGCCAGCAGCCGCGGUAAUUC